rnacentral:rRNA from 2 species
CUGGCGGCGUGCCUAAUACAUGCAAGUCGAACGAACUCUGGUAUUGAUUGGUGCUUGCAUCAUGAUUUACAUUUGAGUGAGUGGCGAACUGGUGAGUAACACGUGGGAAACCUGCCCAGAAGCGGGGGAUAACACCUGGAAACAGAUGCUAAUACCGCAUAACAACUUGGACCGCAUGGUCCGAGCUUGAAAGAUGGCUUNGGCUAUCACUUUUGGAUGGUCCCGCGGCGUAUUAGCUAGAUGGUGGGGUAACGGCUCACCAUGGCAAUGAUACGUAGCCGACCUGAGAGGGUAAUCGGCCACAUUGGGACUGAGACACGGCCCAAACUCCUACGGGAGGCAGCAGUAGGGAAUCUUCCACAAUGGACGAAAGUCUGAUGGAGCAACGCCGCGUGAGUGAAGAAGGGUUUCGGCUCGUAAAACUCUGUUGUUAAAGAAGAACAUAUCUGAGAGUAAC